CAGCCCUGCACGAGGAGAAUGGCUGGCGCUCCUGCCACAGCACCACAGUGUUGAGGCUGCCCAUAGAGGUGACCAGCAGCACCGUGGCCGCUGUGGCUGAGGCUGUGGAACCCUCUGGAAGCACCCGGCGCUCAGCCUGGGGCGGAGACUGUAGGAGGGAUGUCUGCCAGCGCCGGGCUGGGCAGCAGGCAGUGUGUGGGGAGGAGGAAGUGUUGCGUGGCUCCCACUGUGCUGCGUGAGGCCCUUUGGUGUGUGAUGGGAAGACUGGGAAAGCCCUGCAGUCCUGGGCAGGGAGCACAGCACAGGGCUGGAGCUGAGCAGAGCAUCGCCCCGACUGAGAGCUCCCACGGCUCAGGGCUGCACCCAUCGGGUCAUGGACGGAGCUCCAGGGCUGUUCAGAGAUGGAGGGAUGCUGAAAGGCUGAGAAAUACUGUGUAGAUACACAGCUGGGAAACAAUCGUGCUCUGAUGAAUGAGCAAAACAACUAAUUAACUACUAAUUAAAGAUGAACUUGUUGGCACCUUGUA